ensembl:lncRNA
UUAAGUGUCAGGAAUCAGAAGUGCCCCACUCACAGCCAAUACACUACAGUCCAGUCUGGCUCUCUGUCAAGAGUAGAAUACUAGAGCAGGCCAUACUGGGAGGACAAAAGGAACGCCUUAUCCUCCCACUGGAAUCAGACAGACCUGGAGAUUAACCAGACAGGUCACCCCAACCCACGGGGAGGUUAAACAGACAGGUCACCCCAACCCACGGGGAGGUUAACCAGACAGGUCACCCCAACCCACGGGGAGGUUAAACAGACAGGUCACCCCAACCCACGGGGAGGUUAAACAGACAGGUCACCCCAACCCACGGGGAGGUUAAACAGACAGGUCACCCCACGGGGAGGUUAAACAGACAGGUCACCCCACGGG